GACGAACCGUGCGAACGUUGUUCGGAAUCACUGGGCUUAAAGGGCGCGUAGGCGGGCUGUCAAGUCUGGGGUGAAAUGCUGCGGCUCAACCGUAGAACUGCCUUAGAUACUGACGGCCUCGAGGAAGGUAGGGGCAUGCGGAACUUACGGUGGAGCGGUGAAAUGCGUUGAUAUCGUAAGGAACACCUGUGGCGAAAGCGGCUUACUGGGUCUUUUCUGACGCUGAUGCACGAAAGCUAGGGGAGCAAACAGG
rnacentral:rRNA from 1 species